ACCACAUACCAAACACUCUACUGUAGGCACAUCCAACUCCCAAAAGACUGUGAUCUACUCCCAGUUUUAAAAACCUGGCAGUGAUCUACCUAUUCUCAUUGGAGGGAGGAGGAGCGUGCAUGGGGUGGGUGGAUUCCCCAGAGUUAUUGAACUUUUUUUGCGGAGGAUUGCCCACAGUUGUUGAGCCCACAGUUGUUGAGCUUUUUUGGGGUAGGAUUGCCCAGAGUUCUUCAGCUUUUAUUUGUUAAUUUUCGGUAAACUUUAUUUAAUCCCAUGAUCAAUAAGGGUCCCGCAAUCUACCAGGAUCAGCCAGGGAUCUACCGGUAGAUCAUGAUCUACUGGUUGGACAUACCUGCUCUACUGAUCAAAUUAGGCCCCGGGGGAGUAUCUUACAAAGCGGGUUCUCCUUCAUAGAGAGCACGUGUUGCGGUGGGAGCAACCAUGACAUCCCCUGUUGCUGGGCGGGUUAGUUUGGAUGGCCACGAAUUUGACUGGGCACCCCCAGUGUUGCUGGGGGAAAUUGAUGGUUGCAAUUUUAUUUGAUUGAUGGGGGUGCUAUAUAGGUCCCUGUGUGCAGCGUUGCGCUUCCUCUUUUCGCUGAGCACAUCGGAUUACCCGCCCUUGUCGUUGUUGUUGUUUAGUCGUUUAGUCGUGUCCGAGCACGCCAGGCACUCCAGUCUUCCACUGCCUCCCGCAGUUUGGUCAGACUCAUCUUUGUAGCUUCGAGAACACUGUCCAUCCAUCUCGUCCUCUGUCGUCCCCUUCUCCUUGUGCCCUCCAUCUUUCUCAACAUCGGGGUCUUUUCCAGGGAGUCUUUUCUUCUCAUGAGGUGACCAAAGUAUUGGAGCCUCAGCUUCACGAUCUGGCCUUCUAGUGACCACUCAGGGCUGAUUUCCUUAAGAAUGGAUAGGUUUGAUCUUCCUGCAGUCCAUGGGACUAUCAAGAGUCUCCUCCAGCACCAUAAUUCAAAAGCAUCAAUUCUUCGGCAAUCAGCCUUCUUUACAGUCCAGCUCUCACUUCCAUACAUCACUACUGGGAAAACCAUAGCUUUAACUAUACGGACCUUUGUUGGCAAGGUGAUGUCUAUGCUUUUUAGGAUGCUGUCUAGGUUUGUCAUCGCUCUUCUCCCAGGAAGCAGGCGUCUUUUAAUUUUGUGACUGCUGUCACCAUCUGCAGUGAUCAUGGAGCCCAAGAAAGUAAAAUCUCUCACUGCCUGCAUUUCUUCCCCUUCUAUUUGCCAGGAGGUGAUGUGACCAUCCUCCCUUUAAUUAGGGUUUGUUUGCGCUGACCUUGCUAUGCCUGUAAUGGGGUCGUCUGCUUUGGAUCAGGGGCCUGGUAGGAAUUUUACCAUUUGGCUGAUUGGCUGGGGCCAUUUGGGUUUGCCUACUGCAGAGCAAAUCGUCACAACUUGUAAGGUUGCGGUUAGGCAUUGGUUAAUUUUUUGGUUGGUGGAGGGGAUGUGGUUGGUUGUGCCUGCCCCUCCAAUGCUGCUGCUUCUGCAAGGGUAUUCCAUUAAAGGAAUCCAGGGGCUCGCCAUGCUUUUGUCCGUAUUCCUGACAAAGGGCUAGGGCCACGCAAGAGCCCCAGGGAGCAUUUGGGGAGAGGUGAGAGCCUGGCACCCAGCUUUAUUCUCUCCCCAAAAUUGUUUGCGCUUACUGACUUCUGCACGGGUGUGGUUGUCAGUUCUGUUCCUACCUCCAAGUGGGAACAGAUAGUCGCUAACCAAUGCCUAAGCAACCACUCACCUACUGUAAUUCAAUAAAGUUGUGGCCAAAAUUAUGCCAAAAACCAAAACAAAAAUGAUGUGUGAACUGUGUUUUUACUCAGGGGUGUCUUGGGGGUCCUUGACACGCAAGUGCUAGGCUGCAUAUGUCUUAAAGAAGGAGAGAGAUGGUGAACUGAAUGCAUGUGGUCACCUUAAAAAAGGUAAAGGACCCCUGACAGUUAGGUCCAGUUGCAGACGACUCUGGGGUUGCGACGCUCAUCUCGUUUUACAGAACGAGGGAACCAGCAUUUGUCUCCAGACAGUUUCAGCCAGGGCUUUAUUUCAGAAGGAACUCACCAGAACUCAGUUCCAGCCCCUCUCAGGUGGGCACCAUUGCCAUUAUAAGAGAACAAGGGAGGUGUUCAUGGUUAAUUCUGGCAUCUCUUUUUCUAGAAUAAUACUGCUACCCUUAUCCUUUUGUGCCCAGAAGGUCACUGUGCUGUGCAGGAGAGUUUCUCCUUAAUGUCCCCAAAAUAUCAGGAGCCCCACUCCACAGUCACUCAGAGCAGGGCUUUCCAUGUGGCUGCCCCUUUUUGAUGGAACAAUGUUACUUUCAAGCAGCUGGGAUAGCUCAGUUGGUAGAACGUUAGAUUCUUAAUCUUAGAGUCAUGGGUUUGGGCUCCACCUUGGGCAUGGCAGGGGGUUGGGCUAGAUGACCUGUGUAAUCCCUUCCAACUCUACAGUGCUAUAAUUCUAAGAUAUGACAGGCACCCACAAUCUGUACUUUCUCGAAACAAUUGAAAACAUGUUUGUUUCAACAAGUUUUUCCUGCUGGGUGAAAUAUCUUUUAGGUGUUCAUCUUGUAUUGUUUUUAAAACUAAUUCAGUUGUUUUUAUGGUAUGUUUGCAAAUCACCUUGAGGCCUAUGUAAAAUGUGAUAUAUAUAUAUUUUUUAAAAACCUAAAAAUGAUAAUAUUUAUUAAUUUAUUUAAUAAAACAUGCACUGCUUGAUUGUAAAACAACCUCCUCAAAGUUUUUUACAGAAAAGAUAAAGCAAUAAUAUUAGCAAUAAGAAAAAUUAACCACAAUAGUUUAAAACUUUCAGAAUAUCAAAAUAACAAUAGACUAAAAAACAGAUUAAAAUUUGCACCAAAUUCACACUUCUCUGACUUUUGCAAUGCAGUUCUCCAGCCAAGUUAUGUGUACCAAUGCAUAUAUUGUACUAGGGUAAAUUUUGAACCAUUUAGAGAAAAUUACAUGGUGAAAUAAUUUUGUAAAAAUGUGUAUAUUAGCAUAAAGGGACCCCUGACCAUUAGGUCCAGUCGUAACCGACUCUGUGGUUGUGGCGCUCAUCUCGCUUUAUUGACCGAGGGAGCCGGCGUAUAGGUUCCGGGUCAUGUGGCCAGCAUGACUAAGCCGCUUCUGGUGAACCAGAGCAGCGCACGGAAACACCGUUCACCUUCCCGCCGGAGCGGUACCUAUUUAUCUACUUGCACUUUGACGUGCUUUCGAACUGCUAGGUUGGCAGGAGCAGGGACCGAGCAAUGGGAGCUCACCCCAUUGCGGGGAUUCAAACCGCUGACAUUUUGAUCGGCAAGUCCUAGGCUCUGUAGUUUAACCCACCUUGCCACCCGCGUCCCUUAUAUUAGCAUACAUUCGCCCUAAAAUGCAGAUUAAUUUUCACAAGGACUUAAAAACAACAGCCGCAAACUGAAGCGGAAUUGUGGAGAACUGAACUUAUAAUUGGGAAAAUGGUAACUACAAUGGUACCUCGGGUACAGACGCUACAGGUUACAGACUCCACUAACUCAGAAAUAGUACCUCGGGUUAAGAACUUUGCUUCAGGAUGAGAAGAGAAAUUGUGCUCUGGCGGCGCGGCAGCAGCAGGAGGCCCCAUUAGUUAAAGUGGUGCUUCAGGUUAAGAACAGUUUCAGGCUAAGAACGGACUUCCGGAAUGAAUUAAGUUCUUAACCUGAGGUACCUCUGUAGAGAGAAAGUAAAACUGACAGACUUAACAAUCCCUUCUCCGGAGGAACCAGUAGACUGCCUGGGUAUGGAGCCAUGUUGGAACCUGAAAAGCUAUGCUAGCAUCCUCCACCAUAUUAUUUUGAAAUGCCCAGGAGUUGGGGGCUCAAUGGGAUCUGGUGAUGAGGAAAUAUAUUAAACUGUAAAGGAAUCAAGUAUUCCUCUUUCUUUAAAUCCUCCUGAGAAGUCUUGCUUUACACAAACCUUCCCCAACGUGGUGUCCAGGUGUUUUGGACUACACAUUCCCAGCCAGCAUGGCCAAUGGUCAAGAAUUAUUAGAACAGGGAUUAAUUCAAAACAUGUGGUAGGGGAAGAUUUAAGCGCUGGGGGGGGGGGGAGUUACAAAAUAAAGGAAGAGAAUGUGAGUUGAAAUGGCAUCACUGGAAAAAAAAAGUAUGGGGAACCUUUGGCUCUCCAAAUGCUGCUCCCAUUAUCCUUGGCCAUUGGCCAUGCUUGCUGGGGCUGAUGGAAGUUGUGGUUCAGCAAUUUCCAGGGGACCAGAGGUUAUGCAUAUCUGCUGCAUAAUUUCAACUUCAAUUUUAAAAGCAUGCAGGUCUUUGUUGGAGUCAUUCUAGGCAUUUAACAGCCCAUGGAAAUGCAGGAGCUCAUUGUAUUGUGAAAUAAAUAAAUAAAAUUAAAAAUUGUCCAGUAUCACCUUAGAGACCAACUAAUUUUGUUCUGGGUAUAAGCUUUCGUGUGCAUUCACACUUCUUCAGAAUCAUUGUAUUGUGUUGGGGAAAGUGUAUCUCGAAAAGGAGCAUGCUCUGAUGCCAGUGCCAGGCAUGUUUGCUCUCGCUCUUUCUCUUUCUCUCUCCCCCCACCUUUCAGACUUAACAUGUGCAUUGAGUUGGACUGAGCAAACAGAUUCAUCUCCCAGAACAGAAACAGCUUGGGGAGGUCAGUGGAUCUGACAGAGCUGAGAUUCCAAAGAGGUUUGACGGAUGCAUUUUUGGAAACAGAAAAAUGCCACUGGAGGAAGUGACCAUAUGCUGCUAGACAAGAGACAUCUCCCCCUCCGCACUAAGUGGGGAGGCUCUGCCUUUAUGGGAGAAUUGCAGAGACUGACCUGGCCUGCAUCCCAAGUGUUUAGAAAGAGUGAGCUAUGGACUCCUACUCAUGAUGGAACACCCUUUAAUAUUUCUUGUAAACCACUUAGAGGCUUCACUACAAUCAAGCAGCAUACAAUUUUUGCUAAAUAAAUAAACAAUAAGAAAUCUA
rnacentral:lncRNA from 1 species